AUUGAACGCUGGCGGCAGGCCUAACACAUGCAAGUCGAACGAGUGGCGGACGGGUGAGUAAUGUCUGGGAAACUGCCCGAUGGAGGGGGAUAACUACUGGAAACGGUAGCCAAUACCGCAUACUCUAGGAUGUGCCCAGAUGGGAUUAGCUUGUAGGUGAGGUAACGGCUCACCUAGGCGACGAUCCCUAGCUGGACUGAGAGGAUGACCCGCAACACUGGAAUGGUGACACGGUCCAUACUCCUACGGGAGGCAGCAGUGGGGAAUAUUGGACAAUGGGCGAAAGCCUGAUGGAGCCAUGCCGCGUGGAUGAAGAAGGCCUUCGGGUUGUAAAGUACUUUCAGCGGGGAGGCGUUACCCGCAGAAGAAGCACCGGCUAACUCCGUGCCAGCAGCCGCGGUAAUAC
rnacentral:rRNA from 1 species